rnacentral:rRNA from 1 species
UGCGGAGGGAUCAUUACACAAAUAUGAAGGCGGGCUGGAACCUCUCGGGGGUUACAGCCUUGCUGAAUUAUUCACCCUUGUCUUUUGCGUACUUCUUGUUUCCUUGGUGGGUUCGCCCACCACUAGGACAAACAUAAACCUUUUGUAAUUGCAAUCAGCGUCAGUAACAAAUUAAUAAUUACAACUUUCAACAACGGAUCUCUUGGUUCUGGCAUCGAUGAAGAACGCAGCGAAAUGCGAUAAGUAGUGUGAAUUGCAGAAUUCAGUGAAUCAUCGAAUCUUUGAACGCACAUUGCGCCCUUUGGUAUUCCAAAGGGCAUGCCUGUUCGAGCGUCAUUUGUACCCUCAAGCUUUGCUUGGUGUUGGGCGUCUUGUCUCUAGCUUUGCUGGAGACUCGCCUUAAAGUAAUUGGCAGCCGGCCUACUGGUUUCGGAGCGCAGCACAAGUCGCACUCUCUAUCAGCAAAGGUCUAGCAUCCAUUAAGCCUUUUUUCAACUUUUGACCUCGGAUCAGGUAGGGAUACCCGCUGAACUUAAGCAUAUCAAUA